AUUGAACGCUAGCGGCAGGCCUAACACAUACAAGUCGAACGAGUGGCGACCGGGUGAGUAAUGUCUGGGAAACUGCCUGAUAGAGGGGGAUACCUACUGGAAACGGUAGCUAAUACCGCAUCCCAUCAGAUGUGCCCAGAUGGGCGUAGCUAGUUGGUGGGGUAAAGGGUCACCAAGGCGACGAUCCCUAGCUGGUCUGAGAGGAUGACCAGAAACACUGUAACUGUGACACGGGCUAGACUCCUACGGUAGGCAGCAGUGGGGAAUAUUGCACAAUGGGCGCAAGCCUGAGUCAGCCAUGCCGCGUGUAUGAAGAAGGCCUUCGGGUUGUAAAGUACUUUCAGCGGGGAGGCGUUACCCGCAGAAGAAGCACCGGCUAACUCCGUGCCAGCAGCCGCGGUAAUUC
rnacentral:rRNA from 1 species